UUUCCUUCCAUUUUUUAUUUUUCUGACUUUUACAUUAUUUUCCUUCUUCUUCUUCUGCGUUUCUGUCUUUUCUCUUUCAUUUUUUCUGUCUUUCCUUCUUCUUCCGCUUUUCUUUUAAACCUUUUUUUCUUCAAACCCUUUUUCUGUCUCCUCUCCCUUUUACCCACAAACCUUUUUCCUUCGUUCUUCUUCUUCCUUUUUUAGUUCUUCCUUCUUCAUUCUUUUUUAGUUGUUGGUUCUUCAUUCUUUUUCAGUUGUUGGUUCUUCAUUCUUUUUCUGUGUUAUUGUUGAAAGAAUAAGCAGUUGAAAGAAGCUUCAGAAUAACAGAGAAGCGUCGAAGGUACGAAAUAGAAGAAUAUCAUGAUGAGAUGAAGUAAUCAACUGAAAGCUUUAAGGAUUACUGGAAGAGGAACUAGACAGUUUGAUGAAAUAAGCUUAUGUAGUUCUGAAGAGAAAACAAAGGGAACAAACACCCAAAUGGAAGUGUGGUCAGUUGAAAGAAUGAAAUUAAAAGGAAUGAAGAAGAGAGAAAGAUCUGAAGUAAUACGUGGUGUGACUGAAACAACAAAAAGAUCGAAGAUGAAGGAUACCUCAAAAGCUUUAAUGAGUUCACAAGUCCACGUAGUGGUGCCAAUGCAAGGUAAACAAAAAACAAAGGGAUUCUCAUCAAAAUAGAGAAACUCACAUUGGGUUUAGAGAUAAUCAGGCUCAAUUUGAUGUCUUCCGCCAUGUCAAGGCGACACUCUACUGCUGAGUUAUAUCAAUUAGUUAUUCAUCAAAGUUUCUUUUAUUCAAUGACUAGAAUUAAACGAGGAUAUAUAGCUUGGAGACGUAGUACCCUAUCCCAGGGGAAGUCGAAUCCCCGGUACCUCCUUGAAAGAGAGAUGUCCUCGACCACUAGAUGAUGGGGACAUACUUGCCUGACUGCCAUCAUACUAUAAUCAUAGUAUGAAUAGUUUUUUGAUAAGUCCUUUCGCUUUCAUUCAAAUUCUUUGAACAUUUUAUUUUGAGGGGUUAUUUAAUUAACAACGGUUCUCAAUGAACUCCUUAUCUAAUGAGACUAUGGGAAAAGUGAGAAAAUAUAUUUUACAUACCAGAGGGAUUAUAAUCGGAGAUACCAUUAUUUU